rnacentral:tRNA from 1 species
UGGAAUGUAGCUCAGGUGGAAGAGUGCACUGCAAAAGUGAGGUCGCAGGUUCGAUUCCUGCCAUUCCGA